rnacentral:rRNA from 1 species
GUCUAUAGCCAAACCACCCUGAACAAGCCCGAUGUCUGAUCUCGGAAGCUAAGCAGGGUUGGACCUGGUUAGUACUUGAAUGGGAGACCACCUAGGAAGACCAGGUGCUGUAGGCA